GACGAACGCUGGCGGCGUGCUUAACACAUGCAAGUCGAACGGAAAGGCCCUGCUUUUGUGGGUUGCUCGAGUGGCGAACGGGUGAGUAACACGUGAGUAACCUGCCCUUGACUUUGGGAUAACUUCUGGAAACUGGGGCUAAUACCGGCUAGGAGCUCCUGCUGCAUGGUGGGGGUUGGAAAGUUUCGGCGGUUGGGGAUGGACUCGCGGCUUAUCAGCUGGUUGGUGGGGUAGUGGCUUACCAAGGCUUUGACGGGUAGCCGGCCUGAGAGGGUGACCGGCCACAUUGGGACUGAGAUACGGCCCAGACUCCUACGGGAGGCAGCAGUGGGGAAUAUUGCACAAUGGGCGGAAGCCUGAUGCAGCAACGCCGCGUGCGGGAUGACGGCCUUCGGGUUGUAAACCGCUUUCGCCUGUGACGAAGCGUGAGUGACGGUAAUGGGUAAAGAAGCACCGGCUAACUACGUG
rnacentral:rRNA from 1 species